rnacentral:rRNA from 1 species
GACGAACGCUGGCGGCGUGCUUAACACAUGCAAGUCGUACGAUGACCCGGCUCUUCGGCGCUGGUGAUUAGUGGCGAACGGGCGAGUAACACGUGGGUGACCUGCCCUGCACUCUGGGAUAAGCCCGGGAAACUGGGUCUAAUACUGGAUACGACCAGUGGCCGCAUGGUCUGCUGGUGGAAAGCCCUUCGGGGUGGUGUGGGAUGGGCCCGCGGCCUAUCAGCUUGUUGGUGGGGUGAUGGCCUACCAAGGCGACGACGGGUAGCCGGCCUGAGAGGGUGUCCGGCCACACUGGGACUGAGACACGGCCCAGACUCCUACGGGAGGCAGCAGUGGGGAAUCGUGCACAAUGGGCGAAAGCCUGAUGCAGCGACGCCGCGUGAGGGAUGACGGCCUUCGGGUUGUAAACCUCUUUCGGCAGGGAACAAGCCUGGGGGUUUUCUUCUGGGUGAGGGUACCUGCGGAAGAAGCACCGGCUAACUACGUG